AGUGAACGCUGGCGGUAGGCCUAACACAUGCAAGUCGAACGGCAGCACAGUAAGAGCUUGCUCUUACGGGUGGCGAGUGGCGGACGGGGGAGGAAUACAUCGGAAUCUACUUUUUCGUGGGGGGGAACGAAGGGAAAAUUAUGAUAAUACCGCAUACGAACUACGGGUGAAAGCAGGGGAACGUGGGAACUUGCUUGAUUGAAAGAGCCGGUGUCGGAUUAGCUAGGUUGGGGGGUAAAGGACCAGCAAGGCAAGGAACCGUAGCGGGUCUGAGAGGAGGGUAAGCCACACUAGAACUGAGACACGGUCCAGACUACUACGGGAGGCAGCAGUGGGGAAUAUUGGACAAUGGGCGCAAGCCUGAUCCAGCCAUACCGAGUGGGUGAAGAAGGCCUUCGGGUUGUAAAGCCCUUUUGUUGGGAAAGAAAAGCAGCAGGUUAAUACCCCGCUGUUCUGACGGUACCCAAUGAAUAAGCACCGGCUAACUUCGUG
rnacentral:rRNA from 1 species